GGGCCCGUAGUUUAAUGGUAGAAUUCCGGCUUCGGGAGCCGGCGGUUUGAGUUCAACUCUCAGCGGGCCCA
rnacentral:tRNA from 1 species